GAUGAACGCUAGCGGCAGGCUUAAUACAUGCAAGUCGAGGGGUAGCAAGAUUGUAGCAAUACAAUUGUUGACGACCGGCAAACGGGUGCGGAACACGUACACAACCUUCCUACAAGUGGGGAAUAGCCCAGAGAAAUUUGGAUUAAUACCCCGUAACAUAGCGAUGUGGCAUCACAUUGCUAUUAUAGCUUCGGCGCUUGUUGAUGGGUGUGCGGCUGAUUAGAUAGUUGGCGGGGUAGCGGCCCACCAAGUCUACGAUCAGUAGCUGAUGUGAGAGCAUGAUCAGCCACACGGGCACUGAGACACGGGCCCGACUCCUACGGGAGGCAGCAGUAAGGAAUAUUGGACAAUGGACGCAAGUCUGAUCCAGCCAUGCCGCGUGAAGGAUUAAGGUCCUCUGGAUUGUAAACUUCUUUUAUAAGGGACGAAAAAAGGUCUUUCUAGAUCGUCUGACGGUACCUUAUGAAUAAGCACCGGCUAACACCGUGCCAGCCGCCGCUGUAACAC
rnacentral:rRNA from 1 species